UAUCUAUCUAUCUAUCUAUCUAUCUAUCUAUCUAUCUAAUCUAUCUAUCCAUCUAUCUAUCUAUCUAAUCUAUCCAUCUAUCUAUCUAUCUAAUCUAUCUAAUCUAUCCAUCUAUCUAUCUAUCUAAUCUAUCUAAUCUAUCUAUCUAUCUAUCUAUCUAUCUAUCUAAUCUAUCUAUCCAUCUAUCUAUCUAUCUAAUCUAUCCAUCUAUCUAUCUAUCUAAUCUAUCUAAUCUAUCCAUCUAUCUAUCUAUCUAUCUAUCUAUCUAUCUAAUCUAUCUAAUCUAUCCAUCUAUCUAUCUAUCUAUCUAUCUAAUCUAUCUAAUCUCUAUCUAUCUAUCUAUCUAGUUUUGAGAGAGUCUCGCUCUGUGGCCCAGGCUGGAGUACAAUGGCUCGAUCCUGGCUCACUGCAACCUCCGCCUCCUGGGUUCAAGCAAUUCUCCUGCCUCUGCCUCCCAAGUAGCUGGGAUUACAGGUGCACGCCACCA
rnacentral:lncRNA from 1 species